UGGGUUCUUCUUUUUCCCACCCUUUAUUGC
rnacentral:piRNA from 2 species